rnacentral:rRNA from 1 species
GACGAACGCUGGCGGCGUGCCUAAUACAUGCAAGUAGAACGCACAGUUUAUACCGUAGCUUGCUCCACCAUAGACUGUGAGUUGCGAACGGGUGAGUAACGCGUAGGUAACCUGCCUGGUAGCGGGGGAUAACUAUUGGAAACGAUAGCUAAUACCGCACAAUAUUAAUUAUUGCAUGAUAAUUGAUUGAAAGAUGCAACUGCAUCACUACCAGAUGGACCUGCGUUGUAUUAGCUAGUAGGUGAGGUAACGGCUCACCUAGGCGACGAUACAUAGCCGACCUGAGAGGGUGAUCGGCCACACUGGGACUGAGACACGGCCCAGACUCCUACGGGAGGCAGCAGUAGGGAAUCUUCGGCAAUGGACGAAAGUCUGACCGAGCAACGCCGCGUGAGUGAAGAAGGUUUUCGGAUCGUAAAGCUCUGUUGUAAGAGAAGAACGGGUGUGAGAGUGGAAAGUUCACACUGUGACGGUAUCUUACCAGAAAGGGACGGCUAACUACGUG